rnacentral:rRNA from 1 species
AGUGAACGCUGGCGGCAGGCCUAACACAUGCAAGUCGAGCGGAUGAACGGUGCGUGCUUGUGGUUACGGGGGGGGAGGGGCGGGUGGGGCCUGAGAAUCUGGCGAUCUACUUGUUAGUAGGGGCUAAAGUGGGGGCACUUACCGUAAUAGUCCUUAGGAACUACGUGGGAAAGCAGGGGAUCUUAGGCCCUCGCGUGAUUCAAUGUGCGGAUGUCGAAUUAGCUAGUUGGUGGGGUAAAGAGCUACCGAGGCGACGAUCCGUAACUGGUCUGAGAGGAUGAUCAGUCACACUGGAACUGAGACACGGUCCAGACUCCUACGGGAGGCAGCAGUGGGGAAUAUUGGACAAUGGGCGAAAGCCUGAUCCAGCCCUGCCGCGUGUGUGAAGAAGGUCUUCGGAUUGUAAAGCACUUUAAGUUGGGAGGAAGGGCAGUAAGUUAAUACCUUGCUGUUUUGACGUUACCAACAGAAUAAGCACCGGCUAACUUCGUG